GCUCUCCACCCAACUCUGCUCUGGGUCAUGUGCAGCGACCAAUCAUCGUUCACAACGUUUCCCAGACGUCCGACCAAAUGACGGUACAAGAAGAUGUGACAAGUCGAUAUAUGAUGUGACAGCGUCACAAAUAGUUCUAGCUGUCGGCACUGGUCCUCAAACUUCCUGGUAAUGAAUAUCAAAUCCUUCAAGCAGAAAUUUCUAGUUGAGACAGAGUGGCGAGCUGAGUCACGAUCGACCCCCGAGGACUAUUCUUUGACGUCAUCAGCAGGAUUUGAAGUUUCAAUUAAUUGCAGCAAAUGACAUUUUCCGAGUAAUCUUUCGAACAGAAAUAGCAAUAAAUUUUGAGCAGAUUGAUCUAACAUUUUUUUUUUUUAAAUUUAUUUUUUAAUAUAAGAAGCAAAACUCAUAUAACAUUUAUUGCAAUGGGGUGAACAACAUAAGACAUUUAAUUACAAUUAAUAAAUAUGUAUUGAGAAUAAUUAAGUUAUUUUUUUUAUAUAACAUUCUAUAAAGGAUAUUUGACUAAAUCAAUACUCUUUAUAACACUUUUACC